UACGUAGGUGGCAAGCGUUGUCCGGAUUUACUGGGCGUAAAGAGCGCGCAGGCGGUCGUUCAAGUCGCGUGUGAAGGCCCCCGGCUCAACUGGGGAGGGUCACGCGAUACUGAUCGACUGGAAGGCAGGAGAGGGUAGUGGAAUUCCCGGUGUAGUGGUGAAAUGCGUAGAUAUCGGGAGGAACACCAGUGGCGAAGGCGACUACCUGGCCUGUUCUUGACGCUGAGGCGCGAAAGCUAGGGGAGCAAACGGG
rnacentral:rRNA from 1 species